CAUUUUACUCACAAUUACCUUACAAGUACAUCACAAUAAACUCACAUUUUAUGAGGUUAUUGUGAUGUACUUGUAAGGUAAUUGUGAGUAAAAUGU
rnacentral:pre_miRNA from 1 species